UACAGAGGGUGCGAGCGUUAAUCGGAAUUACUGGGCGUAAAGCGCGCGUAGGCGGCUUUUCAAGUCGAUUGUGAAAUCCCCGGGCUCAACCUGGGAACUGCAUUUGUGAUUGCAUCGCUGGAGUGCGGCAGAGGGGGAUGGAAUUCCGCGUGUAGCAGUGAAAUGCGUAGGUAUGCGGAGGAACACCGAUGGCGAAGGCAAUCCCCUGGGCCUGCACUGACGCUCAUGCACGAAAGCGUGGGGAGCAAACAGG
rnacentral:rRNA from 1 species